GCUGUUGCCGUUUUACCACUGCGAGCCAAACCAACGUCGCAUAUGCAAAUGACUUGUAAGUGGGCCGAGCAAGUAAGAGAGGGAGAGAGCAAAAGCGAGAUAGAGAACGAAACAGUAGCCACAGCAGCUGUUGUAGCUAUGAGUUUACAGCAAAGAGCAGCCGCGACAUCCAGCUUGAGCAUAAGAAAGAAAGAAAGUAACAUCACUUUGGACAGGCAGCGCAAAGUGCGUCCGAAAACGUUAAUUAAGAUGCAAAGCCCACGCGGCGUAUGAGUGAUGCUGCUGUGUGGGCAAACGUUGCAGUUGCAGAAGGGCAACAGAAAAAAUCCGUAUAAAUUACAAAGGAAAGCUAA